rnacentral:lncRNA from 1 species
UUUUUUUCUUCUUCUUUUUGACUAAAUCUCUACCUCUCCCAUAGCUUUCAGUUCUCUGAGCUGUUUACUUUCUACAAAAAGUGGGAAAAUGACCCCAAAGUCCUAUUUCUUUUUCUGGCUGGCUACACUGUGAUGCUGACAAGAGACAGAUCGGCUCAUGACUUUCACCUGAGAGGACUCAACGAGGCUGGGAGGAUCAGAGAGAUUUUGAAGCCAGACAGGUGCACGGAGGCUGAACGAGAAGUUGGGAACACAGGGCUCUAGUCCUAAUUCCAUCAGACUUGUUUCAGGACCCCAGGAAUUCAGAGAUGCUCCUGCUGGGGUGAAAGGGAGAGCAGGCGUCAGAGCCUAACCCAGCCGACCAGGGAGGAGACAGCAAGGCAGGGGCAUGUAUGAACAUGAGGGCACAAGGCAGGAGGAAGAAGAGAUGCCACAGAACGACAUCUACUUGAGCUUCCAGGGUGCACCAGCUUGUGGAUUCCUACCCGGUUGAGAGAAUGGAAAUGCCUAGUCCUAAACCCCUUCCUGGCCUGGGGCACUUGCUGACAACUUCAGACUAGUCCCUACGUGUGUGGGAAUCCCCGAGAAGAGCCUCAGGUGGAACCCACCCUCCCUGAAGCACCGGCUGGUGAGGCCCACACACCUGGCUCAAGGAGUAGGCGUCCCUGAAGACCUGGGGAGGUACACAGCAGGCGAGUGCCACACUUGAUCGUGCACCCAGGCGUGUGUUUAUCACCUACUUCGUGAAUUACCUUAAGUAAAUUCUAAAUUCCAAACUGAUUUCCCAUGUCACCUUAAAUGUUUGUUAGAUCUUUUUUCUGUGGCUGGGUGGUAUUUUCUCAGACAGCAAAACUUGAUGGUAAUGUUAAUAAAGCAUACAUUUAAUAGCAGGGAGGUAAACCUGCCAGGGAAGAAAUAGGCCAGCAUCACGUGAAACAUUCCAAAGCCUAGUGGAUGUCCAGGUUUUUAUCUGAUCAGGGCUGUGCAACCGCUCCACAAAGACAAGCCACCAGGAGGCCUCUGUGACCACUUUCCCCUCUCUGAAUACCCUGGCAAGGACUCACUGAGCUCGAUACGGGGUAGACAGGUGUCUUCCCACCCCCUCAGUGCCCUCAUGUUCGGGCUUCCUGGGCUGACUCCCUCCUGCU